rnacentral:rRNA from 1 species
AGGGUUUGAUCCUGGCUCAGAACGAACGCUGGCGGCGUGGCUAAGACAUGCAAGUCGAACGGACUAUACAAUUGAGUAAUCGAGCGUAUAGUUAGUGGCGAAAGGGUUAGUAAUGGCUAGGUAACGUACCCCCUGCUUUGGGAUAGCUAUUCGAAAGGAUAGGUAAUACCAAAUAAUAUCACAUGCUUAAUGUAUGUGAUCAAAGAUUUAUCGGCAAGGGAGCGGCCUAGUUCCUAUCAGCUUGUUGGUGAGGUAAUGGCUCACCAAGGCUAUGACAGGUAGCGGGACUGAGAGGUUGGCCCGCAGCAUCGGGACUGAGACACUGCCCGGACCUUUAUGGAGGGCUGCAGUAAUGAAUAUUGUGUAAUGGGCGAAAGCCUGACACAGCGACGCCGCGUGUAGGAGGAAGUCCUUUGGGAUGUAAACUACUGUUAGGGUAAAGAAAGUCUGUUUUGGCAGAUCGAUCUAACCCGGAGGAAGUCACGGCUAACUUCGUGCCAGUAGUUGUGGUAAGACGAAGGUGGCAAGCGUUGUUCGGUAUUACUGGGCUUAAAGCGUGUGUAGGCGGAUAAAUUAGCGUUUUGUGAAAUCCCUCGGUUUAACCGAGGAAUUGCUUGACGAACUGUUUAUCUUGAGGCAAGUAGGGGUGCACGGAACUCUUGGUGGAGCGGUGGAAUGCGUAGAUAUCAAGAGGAAUGCCAGUGGUGAAGACGGUGCACUGGGCUUGUUCUGACGCUGAGACACGAAAGCGUGGGGAGUAAACAGGAUUAGAUACCCUGGUAGUCCACGCUGUAAACGAUGCCUACUAGGUCGUGGAGGUUUUGAUACCGUCACGGCUGGAGCGAAAGUUUUGAGUAGGCCGCCUGGGGAGUACGGUCGUAAGGCUAAAAUUCAAAGGAAUUGACGGGGGCUCACACAAGCGGUGGAGCAUGUGGAUUAAUUCGAAACAAUGUGUAGAAUUUUACCUGGGUUUGACAUGCUUGGAUGCCCUUCUGGAAACAGGAGUAAGCUGCCCUUUGGGGUGAAACUCGCACAGGUGCUGUAUGGUUGUCGUCAGCUCGUGUUGUGAGAUGUUGGGUUAAGUCCUUUAACGAGCGAAACCCUUACCGUUGGUUGCCAGCGCGUUAUGGCGAGGACUCUAGCGGGACUGCCGGUGUUAAACCGGAGGAAGGCGGGGACGACGUUAAGUCAUUAUGGCCUUUAUGCCCAGGGCUUCACACGUGCUAUAAUGGUCGGUAUAGAGCGAUGCAAGACCGUGAGGU